rnacentral:rRNA from 1 species
CCUACGUGGGGCAGCAGUGAGGAAUAUUGGGCAAUGGGCGCGAGCCUGAACCAGCCAAGUAGCGUGAAGGAUGACUGCCCUACGGGUUGUAAACUUCUUUUAUAAAGGAAUAAAGUGAGGCACGUGUGCCUUUUUGUAUGUACUUUAUGAAUAAGGAUCGGCUAACUCCGUGCCAGCAGCCGCGUGAAUACGGAGGUUCCGGACGUUAUCCGGAUUUAUUGGGUGUAAAGGGAGCGUAGAUGGGUUGUUAAGUCGGUUGUGAAAGUUUGCGGCUCAACCGUAAAAUUGCAAUUGAUACUGGCAGUCUUGAGUACAGUUGAGGUAGGCGGAAUUCGUGGUGUAGCGGUGAAAUGCUUAGAUAUCACGAAGAACUCCGAUUGCGAAGGCAGCUUACUAAACUGCAACUGACAUUGAUGCUCGAAAGUGUGGGUAUCAAACAGGAUUAGAUACCCGAGUAGUC